rnacentral:rRNA from 1 species
GAUUAAGUUAUUAAGGGCGCACGGUGGAUGCCUUGGCACUAGAAGCCGAUGAAGGACGUUACUAACGACGAUAUGCUUUGGGGAGCUGUAAGUAAGCUUUGAUCCAGAGAUUUCCGAAUGGGGAAACCCAGCAUGAGUUAUGUCAUGUUAUCGAUAUGUGAAUACAUAGCAUAUCAGAAGGCACACCCGGAGAACUGAAACAUCUUAGUACCCGGAGGAAGAGAAAGAAAAUUCGAUUCCCUUAGUAGCGGCGAGCGAAACGGGAAGAGCCCAAACCAACAAGCUUGCUUGUUGGGGUUGUAGGACACUCUAUACGGAGUUACAAAGGACGACAUUAGACGAAUCAUCUGGAAAGAUGAAUCAAAGAAGGUAAUAAUCCUGUAGUCGAAAAUGUUGUCUCUCUUGAGUGGAUCCUGAGUACGACGGAGCACGUGAAAUUCCGUCGGAAUCUGGGAGGACCAUCUCCUAAGGCUAAAUACUCUCUAGUGACCGAUAGUGAACCAGUACCGUGAGGGAAAGGUGAAAAGCACCCCGGAAGGGGAGUGAAAUAGAACCUGAAACCGUGUGCUUACAAGUAGUCAGAGCCCGUUAAUGGGUGAUGGCGUGCCUUUUGUAGAAUGAACCGGCGAGUUACGAUUUGAUGCAAGGUUAAGCAGUAAAUGUGGAGCCGUAGCGAAAGCGAGUCUGAAUAGGGCGCUUAGUAUUUGGUCGUAGACCCGAAACCAGGUGAUCUACCCUUGGUCAGGUUGAAGUUCAGGUAACACUGAAUGGAGGACCGAACCGACUUACGUUGAAAAGUGAGCGGAUGAACUGAGGGUAGCGGAGAAAUUCCAAUCGAACCUGGAGAUAGCUGGUUCUCUCCGAAAUAGCUUUAGGGCUAGCCUCAAGUGAUGAUUAUUGGAGGUAGAGCACUGUUUGGACGAGGGGCCCCUCUCGGGUUACCGAAUUCAGACAAACUCCGAAUGCCAAUUAAUUUAACUUGGGAGUCAGAACAUGGGUGAUAAGGUCCGUGUUCGAAAGGGAAACAGCCCAGACCACCAGCUAAGGUCCCAAAAUAUAUGUUAAGUGGAAAAGGAUGUGGCGUUGCCCAGACAACUAGGAUGUUGGCUUAGAAGCAGCCAUCAUUUAAAGAGUGCGUAAUAGCUCACUAGUCGAGUGACACUGCGCCGAAAAUGUACCGGGGCUAAACAUAUUACCGAAGCUGUGGAUUGUCCUUUGGACAAUGGUAGGAGAGCGUUCUAAGGGCGUUGAAGCAUGAUCGUAAGGACAUGUGGAGCGCUUAGAAGUGAGAAUGCCGGUGUGAGUAGCGAAAGACGGGUGAGAAUCCCGUCCACCGAUUGACUAAGGUUUCCAGAGGAAGGCUCGUCCGCUCUGGGUUAGUCGGGUCCUAAGCUGAGGCCGACAGGCGUAGGCGAUGGAUAACAGGUUGAUAUUCCUGUACCACCUAUAAUCGUUUUAAUCGAUGGGGGGACGCAGUAGGAUAGGCGAAGCGUGCGAUUGGAUUGCACGUCUAAGCAGUAAGGCUGAGUAUUAGGCAAAUCCGGUACUCGUUAAGGCUGAGCUGUGAUGGGGAGAAGACAUUGAGUCUUCGAGUCGUUGAUUUCACACUGCCGAGAAAAGCCUCUAGAUAGAAAAUAGGUGCCCGUACCGCAAACCGACACAGGUAGUCAAGAUGAGAAUUCUAAGGUGAGCGAGCGAACUCUCGUUAAGGAACUCGGCAAAAUGACCCCGUAACUUCGGGAGAAGGGGUGCUCUUUAGGGUUAACGCCCAGAAGAGCCGCAGUGAAUAGGCCCAAGCGACUGUUUAUCAAAAACACAGGUCUCUGCUAAACCGUAAGGUGAUGUAUAGGGGCUGACGCCUGCCCGGUGCUGGAAGGUUAAGAGGAGUGGUUAGCUUCUGCGAAGCUACGAAUCGAAGCCCCAGUAAACGGCGGCCGUAACUAUAACGGUCCUAAGGUAGCGAAAUUCCUUGUCGGGUAAGUUCCGACCCGCACGAAAGGCGUAACGAUUUGGGCACUGUCUCAACGAGAGACUCGGUGAAAUCAUAGUACCUGUGAAGAUGCAGGUUACCCGCGACAGGACGGAAAGACCCCGUGGAGCUUUACUGUAGCCUGAUAUUGAAAUUCGGCACAGCUUGUACAGGAUAGGUAGGAGCCUUUGAAACGUGAGCGCUAGCUUACGUGGAGGCGCUGGUGGGAUACUACCCUAGCUGUGUUGGCUUUCUAACCCGCACCACUUAUCGUGGUGGGAGACAGUGUCAGGCGGGCAGUUUGACUGGGGCGGUCGCCUCCUAAAAGGUAACGGAGGCGCUCAAAGGUUCCCUCAGAAUGGUUGGAAAUCAUUCAUAGAGUGUAAAGGCAUAAGGGAGCUUGACUGCGAGACCUACAAGUCGAGCAGGGUCGAAAGACGGACUUAGUGAUCCGGUGGUUCCGCAUGGAAGGGCCAUCGCUCAACGGAUAAAAGCUACCCCGGGGAUAACAGGCUUAUCUCCCCCAAGAGUUCACAUCGACGGGGAGGUUUGGCACCUCGAUGUCGGCUCAUCGCAUCCUGGGGCUGUAGUCGGUCCCAAGGGUUGGGCUGUUCGCCCAUUAAAGCGGUACGCGAGCUGGGUUCAGAACGUCGUGAGACAGUUCGGUCCCUAUCCGUCGUGGGCGUAGGAAAUUUGAGAGGAGCUGUCCUUAGUACGAGAGGACCGGGAUGGACAUACCUCUGGUGUACCAGUUGUCGUGCCAACGGCAUAGCUGGGUAGCUAUGUGUGGACGGGAUAAGUGCUGAAAGCAUCUAAGCAUGAAGCCCCCCUCAAGAUGAGAUUUCCCAACUUCGGUUAUAAGAUCCCUCAAAGAUGAUGAGGUUAAUAGGUUCGAGGUGGAAGCAUGGUGACAUGUGGAGCUGACGAAUACUAAUCGAUCGAAGACUUAAUCAA